AGUGGACGCUGGCGGUAGGCCUAACACAUGCAAGUCGAACGGCAGCACAGUAAGAGCUUGCUCUUACGGGUGGCGAGUGGCGGACGGGUGAGGAAUACAUCGGAAUCUACUUUUUCGUGGGGGAUAACGUAGGGAAACUUACGCUAAUACCGCAUACGACCUACGGGUGAAAGCAGGGGAUCUUCGGACCUUGCGCGAUUGAAUGAGCCGAUGUCGGAUUAGCUAGUUGGCGGGGUAAAGGCCCACCAAGGCGACGAUCCGUAGCUGGUCUGAGAGGAUGAUCAGCCACACUGGAACUGAGACACGGUCCAGACUCCUACGGGAGGCAGCAGUGGGGAAUAUUGGACAAUGGUCGCAAGCCUGAUCCAGCCAUACCGCGUGGGUGAAGGAGGCCUUCGGGUUGUAAAGCCCUUUUGUUGGGAAAGAAAAGCAGCAGGUUAAUACCCCGCUGUUCUGACGGUACCCAAAGAAUAAGCACCGGCUAACUUCGUG
rnacentral:rRNA from 1 species